UCUGUGCCAUUUGAUGAUUGGUUGUGCCAUUUGUGCCAUUGAUUGUGUGUGAUUACCUCCUUUUUGAUAUGAUGACAAAAAGGGGGAGAAAUAUGUAUAAAAUGUGUAAAAGGGGAGAAAUAUAGAAAAAAAUAUGUAAAAGAAAUCAAUGAAAAAUAUGAAAAAAAUAUGUAAAAGAAAUCAAUGGAAAUAAAUAAAAAGAUAAACUCUUAAAAACACACACAAAUUUGUUCUAAGUGGAUUCGGUACCUCGAGGCUCAUUAUCUCUCUUUUGGGGCUCCUAAUGGAGUAAUCUCCAAAAUCUAUUCAAGAGAUAUUCGGAGAUUAGCUAAUCCUACUCAAGAACAAAUUGACAGAUUUUCCCUCUAAAAACAAAAAAUUCAGUUCAAAAACUUCAAAGCAUUAAAAGGAAAUUCAGAGAAUCAAAACAUAGUUGAAUGCAUAUGUUGAGGGGGAGAAUCUGAAUUUUAAUCAAGCUAAAUCAUUAAUGACAUAUAAGCCAAACAAUUAAUUGCAUAAUAUGAAAGCUUAUAUAAUUCCAAAUGAAAGGGGGAGCUUUAACUCCGAAAUUUAAUGUUUCACUUCUUUCAAGCUUGGA
rnacentral:lncRNA from 1 species